GAUGAACGCUGGCGGCGUGCUUAACACAUGCAAGUCGAACGGUGAAGGGGAGCUUGCUUCCUGGAUCAGUGGCGAACGGGUGAGUAACACGUGAGCAAUCUGCCCCAGACUCUGGGAUAACAGUUGGAAACAGCUGCUAAUACCGGAUAUGAGACGUGAAGGCAUCUUCAACGUCUGGAAAGAGUUUCGGUCUGGGAUGAGCUCGCGGCCUAUCAGCUAGUUGGUGAGGUAACGGCUCACCAAGGCGUCGACGGGUAGCCGGCCUGAGAGGGUGACCGGCCACACUGGGACUGAGACACGGCCCAGACUCCUACGGGAGGCAGCAGUGGGGAAUAUUGCUCAAUGGGCGCAAGCCUGAUGCAGCAACGCCGCGUGAGGGACGACGGCCUUCGGGUUGUAAACCUCUUUUAGCAGGGAAGAAGCGAAAGUGACGGUACCUGCAGAAAAAGCACCGGCUAACUACGUGCCAGCCGCCGCCGUAAUAC
rnacentral:rRNA from 1 species